CCCGCCCCGCCGCCGUGCCCCGGGACGGCGAGCGGGCGGCUCUGCGGGCAGCCGAGCCCCGGCCGCGCCCCGUGGGCACCUUGCGCGGGGGCGGCCCGCGGCGGACGGCGCUUCGCGCCCCGGCCGCCCCCACGGGCCGCGCAGGGCCCCGCACCGCGUGGGUCCCGGCGGCGGGGAGGGCGCCUCUCCUCCCCGCCGCCAGCAGCGCGCUCUGCCCAGGCUUUGCCUCGGAUCCAGGGAGCAGCAGGGACCGACCGUUUCUGCCCGGUUUUGUGUAAUUUGAUUUUAAGCUCCCUUUGCCCACACUGCGCAGCUCUCCAUGGAAACCCACCACUUUCCGCCCCAACCCUGUCAGCAGAGGAGCGAUUAAGUGAGGACUCGAGCAAAAGCUUUAAACGCACAUCAAUCUAACAUCAGCGUAAACUGCAGAAGCGACAGAUUCACAUUCUGUAGACCUCUGAUGGGCACUGUCACUCUCCCCUGGACUCUCAAACUGGCCCACGUCUUUCUGGAAAUGCAGUUACCCAAAACAGGUUCUUGCUGAAGCCUUACCACUUCUCAUCUGAGGAGAAGCAUACCAAGAAGUUUGUAUUUUUCUGAGUAUGAACUGAAGAUUCCAGCUGUGGGGUGCCAGGAACAAUCUAGAGACUCUUUUUCCAGUUUCUAAAAUGUGUUGUAUGCUGAAAUACAUAUGAUUAAAAGUGAUCCUUUAGAAUUCCCUCUAGAGAUUCAGUUUGGAGAUAAGACCACCAGGAGGAUGUGACUGCCUUCUGGGAAAACAAAAGCAGUAGACUUCAUCGUACUCUCUUGAACAAUCCUCCUUUCAACAUCGACAGCAAUUUAGAUCAAGAGGGGCAUUCCUCCAUGAAGAUCUCUCUUUCAGAAGCAUCAAACUGAACCUGUUCACACUUAUGAUACAUUUGGGUCUUCAGAUCUGAGUGUCCCCAAAGAUCUCAAAGCUCCCAGCCCAGCCACCUUGCAGUCCCAUUUCCCUUGCCAGCAGGAGGAAUCCAAGCCAAGUUCAAGUUCAAGCUACUAAAAAAUCCUUGUGAAAGGUGACUUCAGGGACCUUCCCAGCUGAAUGGCAAGCCUUACCUCUCUGCCAGCUAUCUGAUGUAGAGGGCCACCACAACAAGGAAAUGGAGGAUGCUGAGCCCCAUCCCCGUGCUGGGUUGUUAUCCCUGGAGCUCCCUACUGUUGCUGCCUCUCAGAUUGGUUUCCUUCGGGGUCCAAGCUGAAAUGAAGAACUGAAAGAGCACUCACAAAAUGGAUUAUUUCAUGGUGGGUGGAAAGCCUACAGACACAGCUCAGCGACUGCUUAAGCAAUAGUCAAUAAAUUUCAUUACGCUAAUGGUUCUUGAGCCUUCCCCUGAGUUGUAUUGUCAUCACACUCACAGGUCUCUUUCAAGCUGUUUUUUAGGUAUAUCAGAAAAUCUUAUCUUUUGUGUUCAUUAGUUUUCCAAUUUAUCUUUUUUCUCUGUCUUCAUUAUUAAAAAAUACUCUUUAUUUCCA